rnacentral:rRNA from 1 species
CAAUAGCGUAUAUUAAAGUUGUUGCGGUUAAAAAGCUCGUAGUUGGAUUUCUGCUGAGAACGACCGGUCCGCCCUCUGGGUGUGUAUCUGGCUCUUUCUUGGCAUCUUCUUGGUGAACGUUGCUGCACUUGACUGUGUGGAGCGCUACCCAGGACUUUUACUUUGAGGAAAUUAGAGUGUUUCAAGCAGGCAUACGCCUUGAAUACAUUAGCAUGGAAUAAUAAGAUAGGACCGUUGUCUAUUUUGUUGGUUUACAGAUGUCGGUAAUGAUUAAUAGGGAUAGUUGGGGGUAUUCGUAUUCAGUUGUCAGAGGUGAAAUUCUUGGAUUUUCGGAAGACGCACGACUGCGAANGNAUUUACNAAGGAUGUUUNCAUUA